rnacentral:lncRNA from 1 species
GCGGCGUGCGGCAGCUUGCUCUCAACCUCGGCGAGAUCCGAAAUCGAGGAAGACGGCGGCUAGGGCUUGGAACAACGCUCGGUUGGGGAAAACAAGGCACGGGGCGUCGCGGGGAACUUUAUAGGGGUUAGGGGGAGGCAUAUCCCGCCUUACUCGGGAUUUGAGGGGAAUCGGUAGCGCACCGACUCCGGCUCGAUUACGAGCGGAGGAAGAAGACCAGCGCGCUGACAGGUGGGCCCCUGGUGUCAGCGAGAGAAAGGAUGGGCCCCGGUUGUCAGCCAAAGACGGAGAGAGGGGGGUGUGUGCGCGCACGGCCCGGGAAGGAAAUGGGCCAGGGAGAAAGAGGGAAGCUGGGCCGCGCGAAGAAAGGUGCAUAGGUGGGCUGCGGGGGGGGGGGGGGGGGGGACUGGGAGGGGGUUUGGCUGGGGUUUUCCUUUUUCUUUUUUUUCUACUUUCUUUUCUAUUUUCUAAAGCCUUUUACAAAUGGAGUUUUGUGUGCAAAAUAAAUUCUCACCAAAAACAACAAGCAUAGAAUAAAAUGUGCUCCAACAUGAAUGCAAAACAUGUUUCUAAAACUUAUGAUAAAUUUUAUUUUUCACAAAACUAUUUAAGUGUUAAAUUUAAAUGCUCACAAAAAUACUUAAUUAAAUCCUAUUAAUCCGAAAAUUAAAUUUUUGGGUGUUACAUCCUAGCUUCCUUAUAGCAUGCACUAGCUAGUCACUAGUACUACCGAAGAGAUAAUCAUUGCCUGUUACGAUAGAGCCUGCAGUGAUUACAUUUUAGUCCUAAGUCUAGCAUCUGGUCAUUGAGUGGGUGUUUUUAAACCUGCAGUAAAGAUAGAUAUCACCUCCGGUUAAAACCAAGAACCAAUAAUGAUAUAUUAUCUAUCGGAUCAAACUACCUACUGAUAGUCAUUGGGGGUAUCACUGCCAGAUCAAUUUAGCACCCGGCAGUAAUAUACCACUGCCGGUGGUGCUUGCAUUGUUACUGUUAGAGGUCGUUGUCUCCUAGACCACAUGGAAAUUUUGAUUCCAUAAACACUAGUACAGAUAAGGGCUUUAGCCCCGGGCCGUAAGAGCCUUUAGUCCCGGCUACAGAACCGGGGCUAAGGUUUCGGAACUAAAUGUCCCACCUUUAAUCCCGAUUCCGAGGACCGGGACUAAAGGUCCACUUUUAGUCCCGGUUGGUAACAGCAACCGGGACUAAAAGGCGCGCCAGGUUGUGCCACCUGGCCUCCACUUUUAGUUCCGGUUGUUGCUACCAACCGGGACUAGAGACUUUUUUUUCUUUUUCUUUUCAUUUGGUUUUCCAUUUAGGGUUUACAAUUAUGUUAUUGUUAUUUUCGAAUGCGUAUUGUUUGCUGGUAGUUUAUGAAACGCGCACCUAUAAUUUAUAUAAUUUAAAGCAUUACAUAGAAAUAUACUAUAAAACACUAUAUAUAUAUAUAUAAAUAAUAUGUAUCUAUAGGUCCAUAAUAUAAUAUUUACACAUAUGCUUCACGGACAAAUUAUUUACAACACAAUUUAUCUCCGCCACUCAAGCAUCGUACAAAUGAUCAUCGUUAUUUGGUUUCAUUGGCUCCUGAUGGUUGAAGUAGCACUCGCCGCCGGGAUUCAGGACUUGGUCGUUAAGAAAUCAUGCGAUUGUCUCCUGAAUUCCUUUUAGGCGCACCGCAUCCAACACCUGCUCCUUCAGCCACAUCUUCUUUAAUAGACAUUAAAGAAAAAAGUUAGAGGUAUGAAUAGGAUUUAUUAAAUAGCAACAAAUAAAUGAAAUAAACUUAUUAUAUAUACAUGUUACAUACUUUUAGGUGCUCAAGAUUAGUUCUUUUGGCAUACACCGUCAUAAACUCGCACACAUAGUAGCCACACAAAUUGUUGCCUGGUGUCUGCCGUAGAACCCACUGAAGUAAGAUGGGCUUUGAAAGUGCUGCAUUCAACUCUGGACGGUGUUUCUGCACGAACCCAGCCCAAACCCUAGCAAUAAAACGAUAAUUAUUAAUUAUCCAUUACCAAGUUAAAAGAGCAGAAUUUAAUAUAUAGAGAUCGGAGUUACCCUUGGAUAAUAUCUAUCAUUUCUUGGUAAUCGUCCUGUGGUUU